rfam:Myotis davidii contig13980, whole genome shotgun sequence.
GAGACACCCUUCUGGGGCAAGACUUGCUUCAGUGGGGCUUUGGUGCUCACAAAGUCUGCCCCCUGAGUGUGUCCCU